CGUGAACGCUGGCGGUAGGCCUAACACAUGCAAGUCGAACGGCAGCACAGUAAGAGCUUGCUCUUACGGGUGGCGAGUGGCGGACGGGUGAGGAAUACAUCGGAAUCUACUUUUUCGUGGGGGAUAACGUAGGGAAACUUACGCUAAUACCGCAUACGACCUACGGGUGAAAGCAGGGGAUCUUCGGACCUUGCGCGAUUGAAUGAGCCGAUGUCGGAUUAGCUAGUUGGCGGGGUAAAGGCCCACCAAGGCGACGAUCCGUAGCUGGUCUGAGAGGAUGAUCAGCCACACUGGAACUGAGACACGGUCCAGACUCCUACGGGAGGCAGCAGUGGGGAAUAUUGGACAAUGGGCGCAAGCCUGAUCCAGCCAUACCGCGUGAGUGAAGAAGGCCUUCGGGUUGUAAAGCCCUUUUGUUGGGAAAGAAAAGCAGCAGGUUAAUACCCCGCUGUUCUGACGGUACCCAAAGAAUAAGCACCGGCUAACUUCGUG
rnacentral:rRNA from 1 species